AGGCAACUGAGGGGCUUGUCCACCUGUAACAGCUGGUAACUCACCAGCCCAAAAGGUGUAGGGUUCCUUAAGCCAGGGUCUCACUCAGAUCUUGUAUCUUCACAUCGCCUCUAAGUAGUAACUCUGGUAACUGCUGUUUGUUCAGAAAGUUGGAAAUACAAAACGAAGGAUUCAGCGGGGCUGCAUUCCUUCUGGAGACCUGAGGAGAAUCCUUUUGUGAAUUUCUGGAUUAGCACAAGAAAGGCACGGUGACAAGAACAUGAGAUCGCGUUGCAUCCGUAGUCAGAACGCAGAGAUGGCUACUGACUCAGACCUUUCUCCAUUUUAUUUAGUCUAGGAUCCCAGCCCCUGGGGUGGUACUAUCCAUGUAUCCAUGUUCAGGGUGGAUUUACACCCUCAGACACACCCAGAGGUCUGUCCCUCUGGUGAUUCUAAAUCCAGCCACAGAGGCCAUUCAUAUAGUUCAAACCACCUUAGUCAGCAUUGAUCACCUCCCUUUGACUGAGUCAGAGAACACUCCAAAUUCAUAGAUUUUUUUAUAUGAUGAAUGCUAGCUAUAUGCAAAAUCUUGGAUUUGCGUAUGACUUCAAGAACAUCUACCAGCACUGUAUGAGAGAGAAAAAGCCAGCCUCCUCCAAUA
rnacentral:lncRNA from 1 species